rnacentral:rRNA from 1 species
CCUACGGUGAGCAGCAGUGGGGAAUAUUGGACAAUGGGCGAAAGCCUGAUCCAGCCAUGCCGCGUGUGUGAAGAAGGCCUUCGGGUUGUAAAGCACUUUCAGUGGGGAAGAAAGCCUUGGGGCUAAUACCCUCGAGGAAGGACAUCACCCACAGAAGAAGCACCGGCUAACUCCGUGCCAGCAGCCGCGGUAAUACGGAGGGUGCGAGCGUUAAUCGGAAUUACUGGGCGUAAAGCGCGCGUAGGCGGUCUGAUAAGCCGGUUGUGAAAGCCCCGGGCUCAACCUGGGAACGGCAUCCGGAACUGUCAGGCUAGAGUGCAGGAGAGGAAGGUAGAAUUCCCGGUGUAGCGGUGAAAUGCGUAGAGAUCGGGAGGAAUACCAGUGGCGAAGGCGGCCUUCUGGACUGACACUGACGCUGAGGUGCGAAAGCGUGGGUAGCAAACAGGAUUAGAUACCCUGGUAGUC